GAUCAGGUGGCCAAGUGGUUAGAGCGUCUGCCUCAGAUGCGGGAGGUCGUGGGUUCGAUCGCCCGUCGAGUCA